GGGAUGUAUCCCAAACGACUGCCAACAUUUGUAGUAGCGCUUUUUUCCCCCCUCUAUCUUGUCACUAUGGAGCCCAGCAGGAAAAGAAAGGUUUCGGCCAGGUGGGAUCACUUUGAUCAUAUUUCGCCAACGAAGGUUAAAUGUCCCAUCUGUCAAACAGAACUAUCAUACACAAACAAAAGCACAUCUUCAAUGCUCAGGCACUACAGAGCACUUCAUGAAAAUGAGGACACAAACUGGCCUGCACCAGGAAUGAACACAGAUCAAGCACUACAGCAAAAGAGAAGCUCGCUCAAGUGCAGCAACAGAUGGGACGGCCAACCCUAAAACUAAUCAAUGAGACAACCUGUGGCAAUAUCUGGACAAUGAAGUCGGCAGGCAAACCACCAACACUAGAGCAGAUGCAAUAAUUGAGGUCCAGAGAUACAUGUCAGAAGGCAACAUCCCCCGUUCCAGUGAUCCACUGAAAUACUGGGACAGUCAAAGAAGAAAUUACCCUCACCUGUUUCAGCUCUCUUUACAGUUUCUUUGCACACCAGCCUCCUCGGUGCCAUGUGAACGAUUAUUUUCUAAAGCUGGAGAAAUUGCAUCAAAAAAGCGAAAUCGGCUGAAGGCCAAAACUUUGGAAAGGCUUAUUUUUUUGAAUA